UACGUAGGGUGCAAGCGUUGUCCGGAAUUAUUGGGCGUAAAGAGCUCGUAGGCGGUCUGUCGCGUCGGAUGUGAAAACCCGGGGCUUAACCCCGGGCCUGCAUUCGAUACGGGCAGACUCGAGUGUGGUAGGGGAGACUGGAACUCCUGGUGUAGCGGUGAAAUGCGCAGAUAUCAGGAAGAACACCGGUGGCGAAGGCGGGUCUCUGGGCCACUACUGACGCUGAGAUGCGAAAGCGUGGGGAGCAAACAGG
rnacentral:rRNA from 1 species